UGCCAGCAGCCGCGGUAAUACGGGGGGGACAAGCGUUGUUCGGAUUUACUGGGCGUAAAGGGCGUGUAGGCGGACCUUCAAGUCGGGUGUGAAAACUGGCGGCUCAACUGCCAGCCUGCAUUCGAUACUGUUGGUCUUGAGUACAGGAGAGGAAAGCGGAAUUCCAGGUGUAGCGGUGAAAUGCGUAGAUAUCUGGAAGAACACCAGUAGCGAAGGCGGCUUUCUGGACUGAUACUGACGCUAAAGCGCGAAGGCUUGGGUAGCAAACAGGAUUAGAUA
rnacentral:rRNA from 1 species